UGAUAGAUUCUAUGCGAGAGAAAUUUAUGCAAUCAGAAGAAUCGUAGUCUGCAAAGCACACUACCUUAAUCCGCGACGCCAAGGCUGUGUCGCCGACGAGUAUCCCUCCAGUCUUUAAGCCGGCUCUGACUGGAACUCGGGGUAUCAUUCAAGCCGGAUGCUCGGAGUGACUCCUUUAAGCUCCGCUAAGCCUCAGAGGAUAAGCGUACGAUAGCCUGUCUCCCGGCAGCUGUACGUCGAAAACCAAAGGAAGACUAAGCGUGUAGAAAGCUCUCUUGUGCGAUGUUUGGACGGCGGUUCGAGUCCGCCCAUAAGCACCU
rnacentral:tmRNA from 1 species